rnacentral:tRNA from 1 species
GGGGGUGUGGCUCAAUGGUAGAGAGCUUGCCUGUCUUGCAUGAGGCCCUGGGUUCAACCCCUAGAACCAUCA